rnacentral:rRNA from 1 species
UCUGCCCCACACCCCUCUAAAAGGGGGGGGCGGGGCAAG